AAAGCUUAACAGCUCCGCUGUAAAAAACAAAAACAAAAACUGUUCUUAUGAGCCUAAUAUCAAAUACGGGUCAUACUUGGACCCGAGAUAUUCAACUUAUUUUCGGAAUGGGGUGGGGUGCUUGAAGCUUGCUUCACGCCCGCCACGGUUUGGCCCGGUAUUGCACUGACUCUGGGAUCGGCCCACUCACC